rnacentral:misc_RNA from 1 species
UUUCCGUAGGUGAACCUGCGGAAGGAUCAUUACCGAGUUAGGGUGUCGCCUCGGCGCACCCGACCUCCCAACCCUUUGUCGAACUUACCUUGUUGCCUCGGGGCGCGCCUUCGCGGACGGCCCCAGAGGACCAACCAUCAAAACCCUGCGUCCCUGCGUCGGAGUACCUUUGAUAAAUCAAUCAAAACUUUCAACAACGGAUCUCUUGGUUCUGGCAUCGAUGAAGAACGCAGC